UGUUUGCGUUAGAGAUAGUAGUGGAAAGCCCACAGUCUCGAUGCAACGAAGUGGAAUCGAGACGAGGACUUGUAGCGGAUAGCCCGACCCAUU
rnacentral:misc_RNA from 1 species